rnacentral:lncRNA from 1 species
GGAAAGGAUAAAGUGCCAGUGCCUUGCUGGAUGUCACUGGGAAGGGGUGCACACAGAGCUUAAGGGAAGGGGCUGUGAUAUGCUCCGACAUGUCAUAGGUGACAUGUGAUGUGGGCAAGGAGACAAGGGAGGGCAUGAAAAACAGCUGCAAAAAGUCUUGGGAGUCCUUGGAUAUUGUAAGAGAAUUCUCACCCGCAAAUUUUAAUAAAGGCAACUGCAAAAGCCAGAAAAUAGCCUUUGUGAAAAUGCUGCUGAGAUUUAGAGCACCAAAGCAAUCUCAUUAUCAGUUUACAUCCCCAGUAGGAAAUCAGAGAUUGUUCAGCACAUCAAACAGUGGAGUGGGGGCAUGUAAUGUGCAGCCCAAGGGCCAGAUGGGACCUGCUGAGUCACACAAUGUGAUCUCCAGCUGCCCUCUGCCUGUAUCUGAGGGAUGGGGACAGAGCAGCAGAGCUGCUGCCUGGGGCUGCUAAUGAGCUUGACCCACCAGACACUAUUUUCCAUCUGCAUGCCAAAUAUGGUUAUAUGCACUCAGAAUAAAUGUCUAAUGUUUAUAUACA